rnacentral:rRNA from 1 species
GUCGAGCGGUAACAGGUGUAGCAAUACAUGCUGACGAGCGGCGAACGGGUGAGUAAUGCUUUGGAAUCUUCCCAGUAGUGGGGAAUAACCAGUCGAAAGAUUGGCUAAUACCGCAUACGUCUGUAAAGGGAAAGCGGGGGCUCGUAAGACCUCGCGCUAUUGGAUGAGCCAAAGUCGGAUUAGCUAGUUGGUGGGGUAAUGGCCUACCAAGGCGACAAUCCGUAGCUGGUCUGAGAGGACGACCAGCCACACCGGAACUGAGACACGGUCCGGACUCCUACGGGAGGCAGCAGUGGGGAAUAUUGGACAAUGGGGGAAACCCUGAU